rnacentral:lncRNA from 1 species
UGCCUAGCCCCACACUAUCCUAUCCUUAUGUACCCUUUUCUAUAAGAAAUUUUGUGAUUUCCUUUUCUAUAAGAAAUUUUGACUGUUCCUGUCUUUAAUUUCUUCCUAAUAUGGGAUAAGAAGAGGAGAGUCACAGACAACCUCCACCUGAGACUCUUCAUACUUUAGGACUUGAAUGUGGACUCCUGAGGUGGAUAUCUCCCUACCUCAUGCAUUAAGUCGAAUGAGAUUAUAGGUAAAUUUGCAAAUCUGGCAUGGAAAGAAUAAGGCACAAACAAAUAUCUAGAACAGCAGUUCUCAACUGCAUCAGACCCACGAUCUCCUUUUUAUAAUGCAAUAUCCCCUUCAUUGUCCUGAAAGGGAAUUACAGAUGAUACAAUCUAACAACACACAUGAAAAAAAAAAUCACUUUUAAAAAUUAGCAUAAUUCUCCAAGAGUGAGAUAAAAGAGAAAUAAAAUUAGAGUUAGGAUUAUGUUCAAAUAAUUAUAAAUAGGCUUAUUACCUACAUUAAUGACUUAGGGGACAUUUGAUAGUCGGGCAGGACAACUUCUAUGUUCUAUGGAACUGUUCCAAACAUCUGUCAAUCCUGGCCCUCAGCCACCAAAUAGCAGUUAGCUUGCUUUCAAUGACUAUGAUAACCAAAAAUGUACUUGCAGUUCCUGUAACACAGCCUAAAAUGUGGUACCACCCCUACUGAGAACCACUAGUCUAGGAGUGCCUGUUUAUUAGAUUUGUUUGGAUUCUCCCUUGGUUAGGAUUUCUAGGUAACAGAACAAGAUAUAUACUUGUAAAAGUUCCAGGGCUUAAUAAGCCUGAACUCAACAAGCAUGCAUUUUCUAUUUGUACACAACUAUUUUUAGGCCACCAGUUUUAAAAUAGUAGUACACACACCCCCGACAUUCACCAAGGUCCCUGACCACAAGGGUGAUGAGGUUAGGGAGUGGCCCUGCUAUGUGUGGACUGAUGGUUAUGUAUAAUGAUGUAUAAAGAGAAUUUAUUUUGUGCCAUAUUUAAAAUUUAGGGUGGUGGAAUUUAUGGGUAUGUCACUGUGGUAUAUUUGUUGGCCUUGUACCUUAUUUUUUGGUCCUCUCUGACCCUUACCUUGGGUUAAAGUAGACUUCACUGUAAACAUUUUUGCUCUAGCCAAGGAAAGGUUCUUUCUUUCUGCUUGCUGAAAACAAAAUUGAAGCCAAACAGGGACCCAAAGGGAAUAAGGUCUCUUCACCCUCAAAUCCCUUGACACACACCCCUAAUUAGGAUCAAUCCAAACAGUAUUCACCAAACACUCAGAAAGAUAUUGAGAUCUGGCCAAAAAUAAAAAAGGGGAAAAAAACCCGAAUGUUUGUGGAAACUUCUAUGAGUCACCCUCAAGAAUUUAUCAGAGGUCAGUGUUUUGCUGCCAGAAUAAGCUAAUAUUUGAAUGGAAGAAAAAUUCUAAACCACCUAAGGGAAAACUUUAACAGGAAAAUCUCUCCGUACCAUGACCUAUGAUAUAACAUUUGACCCUCUUAAAUCAUGCUCAUCCAAGAGCAUGUUUAACUAUAAGCAUGGUUUCUUGGUGGCAUAGUUUUUAUGUGGGCCAUUAAGAAGAAAGUGGAUUUGAAUCAAUAGAUGGGAGAGAAAAAAAUGUGUUCCAACUAAGGAAACCAUUCUUUUCCUUUCCCAGCUAAAUUUCACUUACAAUACAUCGCAUGUACCCUCAGCUGCCUUGCCCCCUCUGACACUUUGAGAUACUCACUUGAUUAAAUAAUGACCCUUGUUGAAGGCAAUGUUCCCUGUAGUUACACCUGUGCAGCUAAAUGUGCCUAGUGAAGAACCAAACCAUGCAGAGAGACCCCACUUUAAAUAUAUGAUUAUAAACUUUGAGUAGCCCUUAAUCUUACCAGCAAUCACACUGUAUUUCACAGGUCUUAUUAUUAAUCCUCUCCCUUGGGUGAUAUUUCAUACCUUCACUUCUGUCCUCAGACUUCAAAUGUCUACUCACCAUCCAUUUUCAUUCUCUGUUGAUGGCCUUGCUUCCUAUUUCACUGAGGAAUUAAAAUGAAUCAGAAGACAGUUCCCACAAAUAGCUACCAUCUCUCUCAGUGCCCAAGCCUGGGCUUCUUUCCUAUGGCUGUAGAUGAAGAUGUUGUGCCCCUAGAUAAGGCCUGUUGCUCUCCUUGUAGAUUAUUAAGUACCAAUUAACCCUCACAUACUCAAGGACAUCACUAGAAAUUCAAUUAUCAAUUCUUUCCUUUUCACUGGAUCUUUUCCAUCAAUCAAUGGACACCAUUUCUCCCACCUUUGAAAAACCCUCUCUUGACCCCACCUUCCUCCUCUAACUAUCCCCAUUUUAUUCUUUUCUAGAGGUUGUCUAUGGUCACCAUAUCCAAAAUCUCCCGUUCCAGUCUCUCUUAAACCAAAUAUAAUCAAUAUUUAUCCAAUCCACUCCAAUUAAAUUGCUCUUAUCAAGAGUUCCCAUCGUGGCACAGCAGUAAUGAACCCAACUAGUAUCCAUGAGGACGUGGGUUUGAUCCCUGACCUUGCUCUGUGGGUUAAGGAUCUGGCAUUGACAGGAGCUGUGGUGUAGGUUGCAGAUGGGGCUUGGAUGCCGUGUUGCUGUGGCUCUGGUGUAGGCCAGCAGCUGCAGCUCCAAUUUAACCCCUCGCCUGGGAACUUCCAUAUUCCACAGAUGAGGCACUGAAAAGGGGGGGGGGGAGACAAAAUAUGAUCAUUCUCUUCUCCUUGAACACUUUUCCACUUGGCUUAUAGAAGUGGACUUAUCUGUCCUUCCUCCUACAUCUCUGGCUUCUCCCCAGUCUUCUUUGAUGGGUUCUCUUCAACUCUCUGAUCUCCAAAACUUGGAGUAUUCCAAAAUUCAGUCCUUGGACCUCUUUAUUGUCCUCAUUCUCUUAUUUGGUUAUCACAUCUAGUCUCAUGGCUUUAAGUACCAUCCAAUAUAUGCUGUGUCCUACCUGUAUUUUUUCCCUGAACCCCAGACUCACAUACCCUGAUGCCUCUUUAAUAACUCUGUUUGGAUGAUAAACAGAAGUUCAAUUUAAUAAGUCCAAAACUAAACUCCUGACUUCCUCUUGCUACCCCCGACUGCUAAACUCUGUAGCUCUUCUACUUUUCUCCAGUUGCUCAGGCCAAAACCUUGAAGUCAUCCCUGAUGCUUUUCUUUCUCUCAUUCCCCAUAUCUCAUUUGUCAGCUUAACCUUCAACAUACAUCCAGAAUCUGGCCACUCCUCACCACUUCCACUAUAUCUCACCUAAAUUAGUGCAGGAGCCUCCCAACUAGUCUCUGAUCUUCCAUCUUUAACAUCAUUCAGACUUUUCAGUACACAAGCCAGAGUGAUACUGAGAAACAUAAAUCAGAGAGGGUCACCCCUCUGCUCAAAAACGGUCUAAUAAUAUUUUUUAAUAAAAGCUCAACUUCUAAAGUUCCUUUGAUGCCUUAUAUGCUCUGCUCCUGGACCAUUCCUUCUUCACCUUUGUCCCCUGCUUCCUUCUCCCUUGCCUCUCCUAUUCUAAUAGGACUCUCCCCACCCUUUGUCAUUUCUUAAACCUUCCAGGCACCUCAAUACCUUUGCAAUCCCUGUUCCUGGGAUGUUCUUCUCCCAGACAUGACUUACUCACUUACCUCCUUGGCUCAGAUGUCACCUUUUCAGUGAGCCCUCCUCUGUUUACCUAUCUGCAAUGGUUCGUUUAUGUGUCGCCCUGACUGGGCCAUGGGGUUCCCAGACAUUCAGUCAAACAUUAUGCAGCCUUUCAGACUUGGACUGGAACUACACUACUGGCUAUACUGGGUCUCUAGCUUGCUAACUGCAGAUCCUGGGACUUCUAAGCCCCUAUAAUCUCAGCCUUCAUAGUCACAGGAGCCAAUUCCUUAUAAUAAAUCAUAUAUAUAUAUAUAUAUGUGUGUAAUGAUAGGUAGAUAGAUAGUAUAUCUCAUGGGACUGUUAAGGUUAUUAAAUGGAUGAAUAUACAGUACUUGAAAGAGUGUUUAGUAUAGUACUACAGUAAGUGCUAUAUUAAGUAAAAUAAAUUAUAUACAUAUAUUAUAUAUUCCUGUUCUCAAGAAGUUCACAUAUAAUGGGGAGGAAAAUAUAUCUGCAAAAGGUACAGAGUGUACAGUGGCAGCACAGACGAUGGGAGGAGUGAACUUCCCCUUAGAGUCAAAUAGGCCUUUGCAGAGAAGAUGAUAUUUAAUAUGAAUCUUAGAGAAAGAAGAAGUGUUUACUAGACCAACAAGAAGGGCAUUCCAGGCCAAGGACACAGAAUAAAUGUUUAAAUCAGGAGGCUCAGAAGUAAGAAUAAAUCCAUCCUCCCACCUUCCAGGAAGUGAUGAUCUGGAGUUUGUCUCAGUAUAUCCAGCUUUUUUCCCCCUAUUUUAUGCUUUAAUUUCUUUAUUAUGUAAGGGAAGGUGUUGGUAACACCGAAUAUUAAAUUAUAGUCAUUGCACUGUGUAGGAGGGAAAGUUGUGCAGAUUGUUACACCCUUGGGAAAUGUUUAUCCCCAUCUGUUUAAUGCACUGGGCAAAAAGAAUCUGCUAGUCCUAAGUCACCUUAAUAUUCUUGAAAGAAUCUUCAAGUUUCUUAUAAUUAAUUGGUAUUUACAAUACCUAACCUGCUGAUAUGAUCACUGAUUAACCACUUUGCUUUAAAAUGUUAUGUAAGAAUUCAUUUGUUUAAUGAAUUUCAAUUUUUCCGUAUGUUUUAUUGCUUUAUUAACUAAAAGUAUGUUUUAUUUAUUGUCAGAAAUAUUAGCUAAUAGCAUUUUUUAAAAAAUAAGACAACCCAGAGUUCCCAUUGUGGCACAACGGAAAUGAAUCCAACUAGGAACCAUGAGGUUGCGGUUCGAUCCCUGGCCUAUGCUCAGUGGGUUAAAGAUCUGGCGUUGCUGUGAGCUGUGGCAAACGCCGGAAGCUGUAACUCCAUUUUCUCUACCCCUAGCCUGGGAACCUCCAUAUGCUGCGUGUGUGGCC